rnacentral:rRNA from 11 species
GUAAACAGCCUAAAUAUUCCAAAAGCGCCAGAUCCCUUCUAAUCUUGGAAAUUUAGCAAGGUCAGCUCUGGUUUGUUCUCGAAUGGGAAACUGCCAGAAAAUAGCAGAUGCUGUUGACU